UACGUAGGUGGCAAGCGUUGUCCGGAUUUAUUGGGUUUAAAGGGUGCGUAGGCGGCCUUGUAAGUCAGUGCUGAAAUAUCCCGGCUUAACCGGGAGGGUGGCAUUGAUACUGCAGGGCUUGAGUAAAGUUGAGGUUGGCGGAAUUGACGGUGUAGCGGUGAAAUGCUUAGAUAUCGUCAAGAACACCUAUUGCGUAGGCAGCUAACUAAGCUUUAACUGACGCUGAGGCACGAAAGUGUGGGGAUCAAACAGG
rnacentral:rRNA from 1 species